rnacentral:rRNA from 1 species
UACGGAGGGGGCUAGCGUUGUUCGGAAUUACUGGGCGUAAAGCGCGCGUAGGCGGACCUGCAAGUCGGGGGUGAAAGCCCGAGGCUCAACCUCGGAACUGCCUUCGAUACUGCGGGUCUCGAGUCCGGGAGAGGUGAGUGGAAUUCCUAGUGUAGAGGUGAAAUUCGUAGAUAUUAGGAAGAACACCAGUGGCGAAGGCGGCUCACUGGGACGUAACUGACGCUGAGACGCGAAAGCGUGGGGAGCAAACAGG